rnacentral:rRNA from 1 species
UGCGUAGGCGGCUUGAUAAGUCAGUGGUGAAAGCCCAGAGCUCAACUUUGGAAUUGCCAUUGAUACUGUCAAGCUUGAGUAUAGUUGAAGUAGGCGGAAUGUAGCAUGUAGCGGUGAAAUGCUUAGAUAAGCUACAGAACACCGAUUGCGAAGGCAGCUUACUAAACUAUUACUGACGCUGAGGCACGAAAGCGUGGGGAGCGAACAGGAUUAGAUACCCUGGUAGUCC